UCAGCAACUGGUAAGGAUAGAAAGCUUCAGGACAUAACAUCGGAAUUGCCCAUGUUCCAAAAUCAACAGGGAACACCUCAAAUUCCAUGCCAAAUGACUAGAAGUCAUGACACAAAGAGAUAAGAGACCUUGCACUUGCUAGGAUUGUGACACGUGGUUUAAUAGUGGAGAGGCCACCUUACACUUGCAACUUAGAAAUUUCAUCCAAGUAUAACAGCAGAAAAAUAUACAUGUGUUUACAGUCAGAUCACCGUAGAAAAGAAUUUCCACAAACCAGCAACAGUUAAAAAUUAGUAGUGCUUUUUCACAAAGUUCAUGACCCAAGAUACUUGGUGCUCCUCAUGCAUAGCCAUAUGUGCAGAGCCAAGAUACUUGGCCUUGUUGACCACCAAAUGAGAUAAGGCAACAAACAACGCUUCCUCGGGCACUAAGAGGGGUUUCAAUUGCAGUAUAGGAAAUCCCACAAGGAGCUGCUACUUUGGAGGACCUAGGCACUAAAUUACAGAUAAAGAUGUUAUUUCUAAUAUAUCUAUAGUACUACAUGUGGCCACACUAUAGAAACAUCCCUCCUCGACCUGGCAGCCAGUUCAAGAGUCUGUAGGACCUGUAACAAAUAACAACAUAACAUGAGUAUCAAAUAACCAAG
rnacentral:lncRNA from 1 species